GUAAACAGCCACUGUCUUGGGGCUCUCCAGUCUCUGGACUCCAGAAGACGACAAGAUUAUGGAUGAUAAUAUAACUGUUGGGGAAAUGUCAGUUAACCAUGAGACAGACAGAGCUUUUAGCUUUGCGGCUGCACCAAAGUCACUACGACAGAAUUUGAUCAGGCAGGGGAAGGGCAGUGAGGAAGCAGUCAGUUGUGCUGCCAUAGAAAUACAGAGGGUCUGGAGAGGAUAUAGAACAAGGU